AGCAACAAGAGGAACACCUGGCACAGCCACCACUGUCUCUGCUGGUGAAAACACAUCUGGAAGGACAGGUUCGCAUGCAACAUCAUCUGGAGCUACCCCUGAAGCUAGAGGAGACAGCACCCCUGGGGAAGCAGGCACUGGAGCCACAGGUUCAGGAACACGAAGCCCUAGUGCAACAACACCUGGGAGGAAAGAGAGUAGCACAUCUGGGGAACCCAGCACUGGAGCUACAAGCACAGGAAGUUCAGGUACAACAGGAGAGUCCCUGGGUGUGACCUCAGGAGGAGUCAGCGGUACAACAAGUCAACCAUCA